rnacentral:rRNA from 1 species
UAGGGAAUCUUCCACAAUGGACGCAAGUCUGAUGGAGCAACGCCGCGUGAGUGAAGAAGGCUUUCGGGUCGUAAAACUCUGUUGUUGGAGAAGAAUGGUCGGCAGAGUAACUGUUGUCGGCGUGACGGUAUCCAACCAGAAAGCCACGGCUAACUACGUGCCAGCAGCCGCGGUAAUACGUAGGUGGCAAGCGUUAUCCGGAUUUAUUGGGCGUAAAGCGAGCGCAGGCGGUUUUUUAAGUCUGAUGUGAAAGCCCUCGGCUUAACCGAGGAAGCGCAUCGGAAACUGGGAAACUUGAGUGCAGAAGAGGACAGUGGAACUCCAUGUGUAGCGGUGAAAUGCGUAGAUAUAUGGAAGAACACCAGUGGCGAAGGCGGCUGUCUGGUCUGUAACUGACGCUGAGGCUCGAAAGCAUGGGUAGCGAACAGGAUUAGGAUACCCUGGUAGUC